rnacentral:rRNA from 1 species
UAAUUUGAUGAUCCGCAAAAAACCUUACCACAACUUGAAUAUUUAUAUUUAAUAUAUUUACAAGCGUUGCACGGCUGUUUUAAGUUAAUGUCGUGAGAUUUUGGUUAAAUCCAUUAAAUUGACGUAAACCCUCGUUUUACUUUUAUGUAGAACGGUUCACCGUUAUAUUGGACAUGAUAAUAGGGAACAAGACAAGUCAUCAUGGCCUAAAUGUUGU